CUUUUUUGCCGGUUCUUCCCGCUGAGGAAGUGUCGCUCAAGACGCUGGCCUAUGAACUUCCUAGCAUGGGCUGUUGUGCUGGAGAGAACGAGAGCUACGAAGAGACUACAGUGCCUCUGACUUUUUCAUAGGACAGUUGGCCGAGGAAGACAAACAUAAAGAUGAAGUGCUUAAUUCAAGGUCACACAAUGUCGGGGAUGGACCUCCAGAUUUCCUUACUGACCUGCAUUAUCUUGUGGAUACCUGAGUGAAUUCCACACCACCCAUUUUAUAGAUGAAACCACUGAGACAUGGAGCAAUUGACUGAGUAGUCACUGCCCCACCCCUGCCUGGAGCCUCACACAUGACUCGCCUCCUCUCAGUGACCACAGGUUGGUUGAGGGGUUUAACAAGGCUAAGAAGGUGAGACGUGGUCUUGUAACACAGUGGUUAAGAAUGUGACUUUGGAGCCAGCCUGCUAGGGGCUGAAUUCUGACUCAGCCAUUUACUAACUGUGUGACCUUAGGGAGGAGGACCUGGUUGAUAGAAGAAUUUAUCUCGUAGUCUUAACAUCCACUGUAAUU
rnacentral:lncRNA from 10 species